AUUUUCUCUCUGUUUU
rnacentral:sRNA from 1 species